rnacentral:rRNA from 1 species
UACGAGAGGCCCAAACGUUAUUCGGAUUUACUGGGCUUAAAGAGUUCGUAGGCGGCUCGGCAAGUGAGGUGUGAAAUCCCUUGGCUCAACCAAGGAAUUGCGCUUCAAACUGCCGGGCUCGAGGGAGAUAGAGGUGAGCGGAACUGAUGGUGGAGCGGUGAAAUGCGUUGAUAUCAUCAGGAACACCAGAGGCGAAGGCGGCUCACUGGGCUCUUCUGACGCUGAGGAACGAAAGCUAGGGGAGCAAACGGG